rnacentral:rRNA from 1 species
CAGUCGCCGCGCGAAUACAGAGGGUGCGAGCGUUAAUCGGAUUUACUGGGCGUAAAGCGUGCGUAGGCGGCUUUUUAAGUCGGAUGUGAAAUCCCUGAGCUUAACUUAGGAAUUGCAUUCGAUACUGGGAAGCUAGAGUAUGGGAGAGGAUGGUAGAAUUCCAGGUGUAGCGGUGAAAUGCGUAGAGAUCUGGAGGAAUACCGAUGGCGAAGGCAGCCAUCUGGCCUAAUACUGACGCUGAGGUACGAAAGCAUGGGGAGCAAACAGGAUUAGAGACCCCAGUAGUCCCUGUCUCUUAUAC